rnacentral:rRNA from 1 species
UACGUAGGGUGCGAGCGUUAAUCGGAAUUACUGGGCGUAAAGCGUGCGCAGGCGGUUUUGUAAGCCAGGUGUGAAAUCCCCGGGCUCAACCUGGGAAUGGCAUUUGGGACUGCAAGGCUGGAGUGCGGCAGAGGAGACUGGAAUUCCUGGUGUAGCAGUGAAAUGCGCAGAUAUCAGGAGGAACACCGGUGGCGAAGGCGGAUCUCUGGGCCUGUCCUGACGCUCAGGCGCGAAAGCUAGGGAGCAAACAGG